rnacentral:rRNA from 1 species
GACGAACGCUGGCGGCGUGCUUAACACAUGCAAGUCGAACGGAAAGGCCCUGCUUUUGUGGGGUGCUCGAGUGGCGAACGGGUGAGUAACACGUGAGUAACCUGCCCUUGACUUUGGGAUAACUUCAGGAAACUGGGGCUAAUACCGGAUAGGAGCUCCUGCUGCAUGGUGGGGGUUGGAAAGUUUCGGCGGUUGGGGAUGGACUCGCGGCUUAUCAGCUUGUUGGUGGGGUAGUGGCUUACCAAGGCUUUGACGGGUAGCCGGCCUGAGAGGGUGACCGGCGCUGUGGGGGAGGAGUACCGCCCCGGGCUGUGAGGGGGGGAGGGGGGGGGGAUGGUGGCAGAGGGGCGGCAGGCAUGAGGCGCAAGCGCGGCGGGGGGUAGGGCGGCAUUCGGUUUGACAGCGGCUGUCGCCGGUGACGAGGGGGGGGGGAAGGUAAUGGGUAAAGAAGAACCGGGAAACUACGGGCAAGCGGCCGCGGUAACAGUCGGAGGAGCACCCGUCUGAAC